CCUACGGGUGGCAGCAGUGAGGAAUAUUGGUCAAUGGACGAGAGUCUGAACGAGCCAAGUAGCGUGAAGGAUGACUGCCCUAUGGGUUGUAAACUUCUUUUAUAUGGGAAUAAAACGUUCCACGUGUGGGAUUUUGUAUGUACCAUAUGAAUAAGGAUCGGCUAACUCCGUGCCAGCAGCCGCGGUAAUACGGAGGAUCCGAGCGUUAUCCGGAUUUAUUGGGUUUAAAGGGAGCGUAGGUGGAUUGUUAAGUCAGUUGUGAAAGUUUGCGGCUCAACCGUAAAAUUGCAGUUGAAACUGGCAGUCUUGAGUACAGUAGAGGUGGGCGGAAUUCGUGGUGUAGCGGUGAAAUGCUUAGAUAUCACGAAGAACUCCGAUUGCGAAGGCAGUUCACUGGACUGCAACUGACACUGAGGCUCGAAAGUGUGGGUAUCAAACAGGAUUAGAUACCCCAGUAGUC
rnacentral:rRNA from 1 species